rnacentral:rRNA from 1 species
CCUACGGGAGGCAGCAGUGGGGAAUAUUGCACAAUGGGGGAAACCCUGAUGCAGCGACGCCGCGUGAGUGAAGAAGUAUUUCGGUACGUAAAGCUCUAUCAGCAGGGAAGAAAAUGACGGUACCUGACUAAGAAGCCCCGGCUAACUACGUGCCAGCAGCCGCGGUAAUACGUAGGGGGCAAGCGUUAUCCGGAUUUACUGGGUGUAAAGGGUGCGUAGACGGCCAGACAAGUCAGGAGGGAAAGCGCAGGGCUCAACCCUGGGACUGCUUUUGACACCGCCGGGAUGGAGUGCAGGAGAGGUAAGUGGAAUUCCUAGGGUAGCGGUGAAAUGCGUAGAUAUUAGGAGGAACACCAGUGGCGAAGGCGGCUUACUGGACUGUAACUGACGUUGAGGCUCGAAAGCGUGGGGAGCAAACAGGAUUAGAUACCCCAGUAGUC